rnacentral:lncRNA from 1 species
AGCUUUUCACUUGAGGGGAAUGAAUCUGGAAGAGUGGGUAGCACCAACACCAGGCCUACCGUGCUUGACCGGCUUGUAUGAGAUAGAGAACUCAGCCAGGUAGUGACCAAUCAUCUCAGGCUUGAUCUCGACUUGGUUGAAAGUCUUACCAUUGUAAACUCCAAUGAUGCUUCCAAUCAUCUCAGGGACAAUGACCAUGUUCCUCAAGUGGGUUCUCACAGGCUCUGGCUUCUCACCUUGUGGUGCCUCCCUUUUCUGAUAAUCAACCAAAUCGCAAGUUUGAUAUCAGACACUUCGUCAGAAACACAGAAUGUAACACUCAUAAGUUGAGAGAUCAGGCUAUUGUGCAUAAAUGAUUCAGUAAUUGAUAAAGAAACUAUUCACACUCAAACUCAGCAUAAACAUACGCAAGGCAAUCCAGACAGAGGCUAAUACAACAACAAGGUUAUGAAUCUUCCAGAAUCUAAAAUAAAUCAAUGUAUGAAACAAGACAACGAAUCUACCAAUCACUUAAAACAAUCCACAUUUAGUUCAUCAAAACCAAAUCUUAAACAAACUUAGAUAACACAAACAUAAGAGACUUCCACUAAAAUGGCUACAAAACCAGAUUCAGGACAACAAAACCAAGUAUUCAACCACGUGAACUUCUUAAUCAGACUAUUAGACUAGAGUAUGAUAACAAAUAGGGAAAUGAAAUGAUUACCGCUUUCCUCAGCUUCUUAAUCAGAGCCAUUGGCUUCCUCGUC